rnacentral:rRNA from 1 species
UAGGGAAUCUUCCACAAUGGACGCAAGUCUGAUGGAGCAACGCCGCGUGAGUGAAGAAGGUUUUCGGAUCGUAAAGCUCUGUUGUUGGUGAAGAAGGAUAGAGGCAGUAACUGGUCUUUAUUUGACGGUAAUCAACCAGAAAGUCACGGCUAACUACGUGCCAGCAGCCGCGGUAAUACGUAGGUGGCAAACGUUGUACGGAUUUAUUGGGCGUAAAGCGAGCGCAGGCGGAAUGAUAAGUCUGAUGUGAAAGCCCACGGCUCAACCGUGGAACUGCAUCGGAAACUGUCAUUCUUGAGUGCAGAAGAGGAGAGUGGAAUUCCAUGUGUAGCGGUGGAAUGCGUAGAUAUAUGGAAGAACACCAGUGGCGAAGGCGGCUCUCUGGUCUGCAACUGACGCUGAGGCUCGAAAGCAUGGGUAGCGAACAGG